rnacentral:lncRNA from 1 species
GAGGAGGAGAGGAACCGACGGCGAGCAGACAUAUGGCUCAGUUCCUGGCCAGAAGGGCAAGAGGAAGUUGAAAACACUUUUGCAACCUGGUCACCCAUGGGUUGAACAUCGCAAAGCCCAAGUCAUCCCAGUUGAGAGUUGUAACGUUUGAAAGCUACAUAAAAUGCUUAAAAUGUUCUCUCCAAUGGCCACAUCUAAUCAGCUAUCACAACCAGCAGGAAGCAACCACCCCGAGCUUGGUGUACACCGCUGUUGCACGUUUCUCAAUAGAAGCAUUCCAGUUGCUAUUUCAGAGCAGCAGAAACCAGAAGACAGAUCCUUUCCCUGCUGCUCUGCAAAUCAGAGGAGAAAAGAGGAAAAUGGAAUGCAGUUCGAGUCCCGAAGUCAGCAGAUCCCCUCGGCCUAUAACAGGAAGGAGGUUGAGUAAGAGGCUGCUAUUUUUCCAUUGCCAUCUUUCAGAUCGCUAAUGGCUACAAGCAGGAGAAAGCACUUCCAUUUCCUGAAAGGAACGAGCAAUACAAUGUGCAGAGCUGGCAUGUUUAGAAACUUGUCCCCCACACACCCAAGAGGGCCUACAAUCGCCCUGGAAAGAAGGCACUUCAUUAUCAACAUCCGCACUGCUGCCAGCUGCGCUCACAACAGGGAACAGAUACCAAGCAUCUCCCACUGAUUCUAGCAUCGAGGCCAAGAAGCACGAUGAGGAUGCAUCCAACACGCCCUUGUAGCCAUUCAGUUAUCUACUGCAGUACUUUGUUUUGGCAAUGCCACGUUCUUGGCCUACAAGGCACAGCACAGGUCAGGCCCCUUCCUCUACACGGCUUUUAGUUGUCUAGCUUUCCUGCUCAGAUUGCCUGAAUCGCUAAUCAUGUCUCAGGCAGGUAGCCAGAGGAAAGCUACUCAGUUACGCUUCCUUCCUUCUGCAAAAGCACACCAAUUCAUUUGCUAAUCCACCACAGUAGGUUGCAGAUAGCCAUCUUCAUAGUCAUCUUCAUGCGUACGUUUCAGAAUUACCCU